GCACACUCACACUCGCACUCACAUUUGACGCGUUUCUGUUGCUUUUCGCUUCGUUCUUGCGCUCGACGCCACUUCGUGCGCCGACCGCGCUGUCACGGCUUCAGAGCCUCGGCCUCGGUCUCGGCCUCGGCCUCGGCAACCACUGACUGACUCUUGUGUCAAACUGAACAGCAAAUAUUAUUUUUUGGACACUUUGCUAUCAGGUCGACGCCGCGUCAACCAGAGACGUCCUGUGCUCCAUUCACCAUUCACCAUUCACCAACCACAGCUAUUGAUAUCGACACCGCCAACCGUGCCAGAGCCCAUCGAGCUCUCGACUUGUCCAAUUGUUCCCCAUUCAAGUGUCGCAUUCGAAGUCGGACAGCUGCCGGGGUCUCCAUUUUCGCCGAAGUGUGAACUAUUGAAAUCCGCAAACAAAAGUGAAGUUCAACAAAAUCUGUAAAUCAACUCGAGCCGGUUCGUGUGUUGCCAAAAAUUAACCGAAAUUAAUUAUAAUAUUGACAUACAACAUGAAGAACGAGGGGGCUGCUCCUCCCAAGCAACACAAGCGCCUUUCGACCAACUGUGAAUAAUACUCGUAUGGAUUACAAUCUCGCGUGUGAUGGGCAAGGCAAAAACAACAAAAAAAAAGAAAAAAAAAAGCUAACGUUAACAACACUUCAGGGCCGGUUCUGUGCUUUGUGCUUCGUACUUGUGUAUUUUCUGCUUUGAGGUUUGGUCUGCGGUCGCUGCUCUUUGGGCGGAGGACCGGGAACCCAUCCAUCCAUGCUUCUCUCGUCUCGACUUGUCGACUUGCCGACUUUCGUGUCGGUCCAAUGGGCCCGUCCAGCUCCUCGCGUUCGCCGGGUUUUCUCAGAUUCGCUGGGCGUGGAUUCAAUUAAAAUGAUUUGUUGCCGCCGUUCCUGACAUUUUGGACAUAAAUAGUGGACCUGAUUCAUGGUACAAUGUUUUCGUGUAAACAAAACCAAUGCAAAACUUUGGCAGCACUACUGGACUGAUGCCCCCCUUCGGACAGACUAGACUCUUACAGAAUUGAAUAAAGUUUGUACAUAUUCUUCGAUCAAGACUGCUACAAAAUGCCGUCGGAAGAGACCAAUGGCAAAGUGCGAAACGGUUCCGCGCUUAAAAUGAGAGCAGAGGUGACAGUAAAUGAGAGCGCCGACGCAACAAAUGGAACAGAGAGAGAGAGAGAGAGAGUGAGCGCGUUGUCAUGACAACGGUUUCGGCGGCAGCCAUCUUGGAUAUGAGAGAGAGAGAGCCGCCAUGCAGCGGCCAUGCUGUUGGCCAGCGACACUCACACGCUGCGGCGGCUAUUGUGAAGUUCUGUGACGUGACUGAAAUAUCGCAGCAGGUAAAACCGUUGCUUCUCGUUUGCCUGUGCAGCGAUUUUGCUGCCGCAGUGCCGCAGUAACGAUGUUCGCGGCGACCGCUUAACGAAUGCGCGUGCGUUGCGCCCGGACCGCGACCUCGUCGGUUGGAAGCUGCGACCGCGGCAGCGACAGCGACAGCGGCAUCGGCAGCGAAGCGACUAAGCAAGGUGGAUUAUUUUUUACAGGGACCCCCCGAAGAGACGAGACGUUACACGACAUAUGUUGCAGUAUACACCUGGGAUAUGUCUUAACCGAUCAGUGUCGACUGGAAUGUGACAAAUAACUUUUUUUUUUUUCGAGGCUGGCGGAUGGAUACGUUAAGCAUUUAAUUUCUUUUCUCGUUUUUUUCUUCUGCUUUUGUUUUACAAAAUUGACGGAUUAAGUUCAUAAAAUUUGCGGAUUAGGUCUAUAAAAAACACACACUUCACUACGUUAAAGGAUACACGUGAACAUCUGAGCCUGAAAUACAUUAUUAUAUAUUUGUACAUGAUUUGUGAUUUAUAUUUUUCAUUUGCGUAAUUUACAAAACGGUACAUCAUUGGUGCAAUUAAAAUGCAAUAAAUGUGGACGAGCGAAGCCCAAACCAGACGUUAAGACACUUGCCACUGCCACUCGUACACAUUUUAUUGAGUCGUUCUGAGGAAUGCACUGAGUAGGUGCACGGCCGAGGCCAAGGCAGACGCAGAGGCAGAGGCAGGGUCUGAGUGACACACAAGCCCACAUUCCUGGGCGGGGGCUGGUUCACGUCCAUCCCGGAGCUGUGAGCGGGAUGCAAGAUGCGGAACGAGAGCGGGGAGCGGUGAGCGGUGAGCGUGGAGAGCGGUGCCAUAAAACACAGCUUUGUGUGACAACGUCGAAGGAUUAAAAAAUGAUUGCGUGACAAGGCAUUUUAUAAUCAUCAUCUGAAUCACUUAAAAACACAUUCAUCGUCGCUGCCGACUUGUACAUAGCCCGUGAGUCGAUGUCAGCCAGCCGGAGACAGAGCCGGGGUGCGAUCCGGAUUGGGGUUAGGCGAACCGCAAGGGCCAAACAAGCCAUAAACUGGCGCAAUAAAAGUGUAUCAAAUUAAGGAAUGAAUUUGAUGUGCAACAGAAGCAGAAGCGACCUUCUUUUUUUUACAACUGUGUCGCGAGUGAUUCAAAGAUUUUGGCUCAGCUGCCACUGAGUCGAAGAUAACAUCCGUUUCACUCAGUUCGGUUCGGUUUCACUCCGAUAUUAUCGAUUUUAAGUGCUUGCAAUCUGUGUGUGUAUGAGUUUAAGCAAUUGUCCGUAGUUACUUCCUCGAAAAGCAGUCUGAGUUGAAUUAUUUUCUGUUCCUUUUUAAGAGUGAGCUACACACAAAUGUGGUGUCUAUAUUCGCAAUAAGAAAUACGUUGAUUAUUUUCACAUUGCUUUAAAAGUACCAUACACACGAUUACUAUAUAAGUUCAAAUAAGGCGUACAAAA